GGCGAGGGCGGGGUCCGCAGGCCCUGGCUGCGGGGGGGCCAGCCGGCGGGUCGCUGCUGCCGGGUCCAGAACUGGUGGAGUCUCCAUCUUCCCCAGCAUUGUGUCCCUGGGCGUGUCCUGAGAAGCCGGGCUCCCAGCUCCGGAUGCAUGGGCCUGGCCUGGACACCCAGAGCCCCUGCUGCAGAGACCCCAGGCAGGGACCCCCACACUGCCUCACCCAGAACAAGUGGGUAACAGCACGAGCUGUAGUUUCCUGUGGACAGACACCGCUGGACAGACAGCAGGAUGGGGGCAGCCAGGUGGAGAGGCUGAGGAGCCAUUGAGGUCUUAGGAAUGAACUGAAUUCACGGCGUCCUUUGUGAGCAGACUGGCUACCUACCUGGAAAUCAACGAGCAGCUGCAGCUGAUGGCCUCCUGCCCCUAGAACCCAGCCUCUGAUGCAUUCUUGGUAGUCCCGAGGCCGCUCUGCCAGCCUACCCGAGCCACCAGUGCAGCUUUGAGCUCUGCGCGCGCGGACGGGACUCUGCCUCUCCCCGGCUUGGGAGGCAUCGCCCUACCUUGGGCCUGCAGCACCUGGCUCAGCCACUGUCAACGAGUACGUCUCCUGUUGAGGGGGAGGAGAGGGCCUGGCCGGGCGUGGCGGGUAAGAGCCAGGGUGACACCACUUGCCUCGCCAGCUGCCCAGUUGACCCUGGGUGUUUCCAUCACCGAACCUGCUCCUUUUCGCUAGGCAUGUUGCCGGUAAAGAAAAGCAAGCUGCGGAAGCGGAGGACAGUUGGCAGCUCGGCCAUGCUGAGCCCUGACGUGUGUGCCACUUUACCGCGGGCCGUAGCAGAGCGUGCCGUGGGCGCUUUCCCCUUCGCCAUAGCUGGCACUGCCGAUGCCCAUCUCCGCCAUCUGCCUCUGGGUUCCGACCACGAGCACGUCCCCGAGAUCGAGAUCAAGCUGGAGUUUAGUGACGAGGAGGAGGAGGGUCAUGAGGGCGGCAAGCUGGGAUUCGUGGCAGCCUGUGGGGUAGGGAGCCAUGAGAAGAGGAAGGCAGAGCUGGCCCCCCAAGGUGCGGGCAGCCAGCCUCGAGUCACGGCCAGCUGGCAACCCCCUUCCUCCAUGCUGGAUGUAGACAAGGCUCUCCUGGAGGGAUGGGCAGCGAAGCGCACCACACCUCCGGCCUUCGGUCUCCCCAUCCGCACCCGGCGCCGCAAGACCACCUCCGAGGUGUGGCAGUUCUUCUCCCCGGAUGCCAGCGACCCCUGCCGGGCCGUCUGCACCCUGUGCCAGGCUAGCAUUGGGCGCGGCAAGUUGAGGGGCCACUGCAACACCACUGCCCUCAAGCGCCAUCUGGAGGGCAAGCACCCGCUGGAGUGGGGGCAGAGGAAGAGAGCAGGGGGCAGGGCCCAGGAGGAGGAGGAGAAUGAGGAGGAGGAGGAAGAGCAGAUGGCAAAGGGGUUUCCCUUGCAGGACACUGUGUUUGGCACCAGCCAUGCUUUGUGUUCCCGCACCCAAGCCCUCAGCAGUGCGCCCCCCCAAGUGCCCCAGGGUGCCCCCCACUUCCGCUACGUGAUCAGCGACUCCAGUGAGGAAGAGGAGGAGGAGGAGGGGCAGGGAAGGGCAGGCACCACAGUCACUGAUUCCUCCCCAGAGUCCAGCGAGGAGGAAAGCCGUGAGAGUAGCAAGCUGCUGCCCCAGGGCAGGGGGAUGGGCAGGAAGGGCAGCGUCCAAGCAGGGCACUGCAAGCCGGCCCUGGCCACACCCAACCUGGAGAUGCUAGUGGGCCAGGGGCUCCCCAAGUCCGGGCAGCUCAGCUGCCCCAACCACCCGCUGGUGCCACCAGGCACGAAGCGCCGCAAGUCCACCUCGGCCGUCUGGCAGUUCUUUUACAUCGACUGCAGCAAUGUGUGCCGGGCUGUCUGCACCCUGUGCCAGGCCAGCGUUAGCCGUGGCAAACUGGGCAGCCACUUCGGCACCUCGGCCCUCAUGCGCCACCUGGAGGGCAAGCACCCGCUGGAGUGGGGGCGGGGGAGGGCUGCUGGCGCCCCUGCCACUCCUCCCGGCAGCACCCGGUCCGAGAGGCUGAGCCUGGGGCCGGCGGAGGACGAGGAGCCCGUGGAGGACCUGUCUCUCACCUCGCCCAUAGCAUCGGACCCCCUGAGAUUGCCCUGCAUCAGCCCUGGCGGGGCUCCAGUUCCCUUGCGUGACAGCUGGCAGAGUGAGGCGCCUCCCGAAGGCAAGGCGGGCGAAGCCCUGCCCACCUCAGCUGCCCCGUUGCUCCCAAGCAAGAACCAAGCCGGCCUGGCUGAGCGGUGCGAGGAUGUGCCAGGCAAAUACACCUCCAACCACCCGCAAGCGCAGGCCUGGAACCGCAGCAUUGCCGAGCUGCUCUGCGGCAUGGCCCUGCCCUGCUCCUUCGUCUCAGCCAAGCCCUUCCACCAGUUCAUGGCGCAGGCUGACCCGCGCUACCACGUCCCCUCGCCGGCCUUCUUCUCCCGCAAGGCAGUGCCCCAGCUGCGCCAGGCUGUCGGCCUGCGCCUGGCCCUGGAGCUGCAGCAGGCCAGUGUCAGCCGGGUGCACCUCAGUGCCCACAUGUGGGCCCAGGGGCCGGCAGGGGCGUACCUGGCGCUGGCAGCGCACUGGCUGGCACCCCGCUCGGAGUCAGGCCAGCCCCAGCCCUGCAGCCGGCGCAGGCAGGCGGUGCUGUGCGUGCGGGCUCUGCAGGAGGAGCAGGCGCUGGGUGGCAUGCAGCAGGUGUUGGCUGAGCAGCUCCAGCUGUGGCUGGCCCAGAACUCCCUGAGCCCCGGCUUCCUGGUCUCGGGCGGCAGCCCUGGCGUGGAGCAGGCCGCGAAGGACGGUGGCCACACCCACAUCCCCUGCUUCGCUCACUGCCUGAGCCAGCUGGUGCUGGGCUUCCUGCGGCUCCACCGCAGCAUCGAGGGCACGCUGGGGGCGGCCCGCGCCAUCUGCGCUCACUUCGCCCGCUCCCCGGAGGCCAGGAGGGGGCUGGCGGAGCUGCAGCGGCAGCACGGCUUGGCCCCGCGCCGGCUGAAGCAGGAGGCCACGGCGAGCUGGGCCUCCACCUACUACAUGCUGGAGCGGCUGCUGGCGCUGCAGCCGGCUGUGCAGGAGUACGUGGGCAAGUGCCGGGUGGGCGAGGCUGGCCCGGCCCUGAGCGCCCCCCAGUGGACGCUGAUGCGCCGCCUGGUGGAGCUGCUGCAGCCCUUCGAGAUGGCCGUGCGGGAGGCGAGUGCGGCCGAGGCCUCCCUGAGCCAGGUGCUGCCGCAGGUGCGCUACCUGCACAUCUUCCUGCAGCAGAUCCGCCUGCGCUUCGAGAGCCAGGCCGGGGAGGGGGCCGGCUCCGCCGUGCGGCUGGCCGAGAGCCUGGCCCUGCAGCUCUCCAGCGAGCCCCGGCUCAGCGAGAUGUUCCACCGCCAGGAGUACGUGCUGGCCACGCUGCUCGACCCCCGCUUCAAGGGCAGGAUGGAUGCCAUCCUGCCGCUGGGCUCCGACCUCGACCACUGGAAGCAGCUGCUGGUCCGGAAGGUCAAGGAGCUCCUGGCUUCACCCAGCGGCUGCCCUUCCUCCCCCUGGAACGCCCAGCCGGGCAAGGCCUUCUGCGUGGACACGGCCCUGCAGCCCCUGGAGGCAGAGCCGGGGCCAGGGGAGCCCCAUCAGGACAGGGGGCUGAGUGGGAUGGGCUCUGCGGUACCUCCACUGAUCCAGAAGGAGAAGACCCUGACUGAGCACCUGGAGAGCGUGGGGCUGCUGGCCUCGGAGGGCCGUGGGGCCUCCCUCCCCACCGAGAGCCACUUGGCCUGUGUGAUGGUGGAGAGGUACCUGUGCGACAACCAGACCAUCGGGGCCCGGGAGGACCCGCUGGGGUACUGGGAGAAGCGGCACUGGCUCUGGCCGGCCUUGGCCAAGCUGGCCAUGCUCUACCUGUCCUGCCCGCCCUCGGGGGCUUUCUCGGAGCGCAUCUUCACUGCCCCAGACAGCCCCUUCUCCGAGAGGCGCCCCCCGCAGGAGGAGAGUGCGGAGCACCUCGUCUUUCUGAGAGCCAACCUGGGGAACUUCCCCGACUACCGCCCACCGCCCCUCAUCUGCUCGGAGAACGACAGCGCGGGCAGCAGCAGCGGGGAGGAGGGGACCCGGCCGGCUUAGAGACUGUCUCCGAGGUACAGGCAGCGGGGCACCUGCCCGUCUCUGGGGUACGCCAAGCCGGGUGCAUGGCGCUGGGCACUCACUGGGCCCUUAUGGGGCAGAGAUGGCUGAAGGGGGAGGGUACAGCUACCCUAUGGGCCCUCCUGCUUUUGGUGUGGCUCCUCGCUGUGGCUCCUAACCAUGGGCCGUUUGGUCUCAAUUGCUAUAAAGAGGACAGUGACUGGUGUGACGAAGCGGGACUAUUCUUAAUGUUUCCUCUGAAUAGUGUGGGGGUGCCUCAGUUUCCCCUAUGCAGUUCUUAAGUGUCUAGGGGGUGGGGUAAGGGUGUAUGAUCGUUGCAGAGCCCUAGAGGGCAGGUGUGUGCAGGGGUCCGGACACAGAGAAUGGCCGACACCCUGUUUCCUGGCAACUGAUGGCCUGGGCCCUUCCCCCCUGAAAGGUGAGAGUUAAAGGGUUGGAGAACAAAGGAAUCAGGUGGCCUCCUGGCCCGGGAAAGGGACAAAGCCGAGAGGAGGACGGGCUGGAGACAGUUUCAGUGUGGGGCUGGCUGGGGACAUGGAGUGAAGGGCAGACGGGGUUGUCUGGCUCACUGCCCCCCAAAAUGGACCCAGCUGAGGGGUCCUGUUCUCUGCACCUGCAAGCUCUGUGUUAGACCAUGUUCCUGUCGUCUAAUAAACCUUCUGUUUUACUGGCUGGCUGAGAGUCCCGUCUGACUGCGGAGUUGGGGUGCAGGACCCACUGGCUUCCCCAAGACCCUGCCUGGGCGAACUGGCUGUGGGAAGCGCACGGAGGGGCAGAGGAGGCUGAAGGCUCCGAGGUCAGACCCAGGAAGGUGGAAGCCGGGUGAGCUGUGUGUCCUGAAGACAGCCUGCUCACAGAGAGGAGACUUCCCCAGAGUCCUGCCUGGCUUCAUGGGGAGCAGUUCCAGAGCAUCGCCCGGGGACUCCGUGACAACUGGUGGCAGAGGUGGGAUCAACUGCAUCCCGUGGACGGAGCUUCCUGCAGUAAGUGACUGGGGAGCAGUAAAACAAAGGGGGAUUGACGGGGACCAGGCGUGCUGAAGAUUCAGAGAGAGACGGUUUCAGGGGGUGGUUAACCCCUGGGAGUGUGUGACCAGAGAGAAGGACUUUUGCAGUAACAGGGUCCCCCGGGGGAUUGCAGCGAGCGGUCCCAGGGGCGGAGGAGUCUGCCGCUCGACCCUGGCAAAGAGGUGGUGACCUCGAGAAGGGCUGGCACCCUAGGGGUUCUCCCUGGAAACCGUGGGGAGCUGAGAGCACACAGGCCUGUGAGUCUACAGCAACUUGGGAAGAGCGGAGUGAUGGCCUAUCACCAUCUCCUUAAGAAGGACAUUGUAACCCUGUGCAGAAAGAGAGGGUUGAGCAUUGGAAAGUUCAACAAAGCACAGUUAAUCGUGCAGCUGGACCAGGAUGACCGCUCUAAGGAACAGAUUCCUGACCCCAAAUGGGGCGAUAGCAGGAUCUGGGAGCAGCUGGAGUGGUAGCCAGGCAUCCCCAAGACUCCUGUCCCUGACCAGACGGGGGGUCUUGACGAUCGGGUUCCCCAUCCGGGGAUCGGAGAUGGACGGGAUUGGAGCUGAGUCCGAGAGAGCAAGAGGACUGGGAGAGACAGCGAGAGCCCGAGAAAGAGCUGCAGAAGCAGCAGCAGCAUGAACUGGCGGUGGGGGAGCGGAGAGGCCUAGGGGACCUCCCCGGGGGGGUGGUGCGUUCCCGGCGUGGCCACACGGGCAGAGGCUCCAGGCAGGGGCAAAGCGCUUUCCCAGGCCUGGCCCGGCUCGCAGUGUGCAGAGGUUCUCCGCGCCGUGGGCUGCCCGGGCCCCGAAUGCCAAGCGCUGCAGGCCUGGGCUGAGCCGUAGUGCAGUGGGCCGGCUGCAAUGGAGCCCUGGGCGGAGAAGGGGGACGAGGGCGAGAACGUCAGGGUCACCGCCCAGCUGCUGAAGGCCAGGACGGGCGAGUUCGCCCUGGAGUCCAUCCUGCUGCUCCAGCUGCGGGGCCUGGGCAUCUCGGAUCUGGGCUGCCUGGGCGAGUGCGCCAGCCUGGAGUGGCUGGACCUCUCCGGCAACGCCAUCUCCCACCUGGGCCCCCUGGCUGCCCUCAAGUCCCUGGCCGUCCUCAACCUCUCGGCCAACCGCGUCUGCAGCCUGGAGCCGCUCGGCGCCUGCGAGAGCCUGCAGAGCCUCAACCUGGCCGGCAACCUGCUGAGCAGCCUGCCGCAGCUGCAGGGCCUGGCGGGGCUGCGCCGGCUGGAGAGCCUGCGUCUGCACGACCCCCGGGCCCGCCUCAGCAACCCUGUCUGCGCCACCGGGGCCUACCGCAGCGCCCUGGGGGGCCUGCUCCCCGGCCUCAAGGCCCUCGACGGCGAGAGGGUCUCCGGGCGCGGCAGCGAGCUCUACCAGCUCUGCCGGGACCUGGACAGCUCCCUGGAGCGGGGUGGCAGCGGCGGGGCGGGCAGCCCGGAGCCGCCGGGCAUGGCGCUGCCCUGGGUGGAGGAGGGCUACUGGGAGCGGAGGCCGGCUCGGCGCAGCUCCAUCAUGGAGGAGGCCUACAAGCAGUUCAACGACGUGCUGCGGGAGUGCCGGGAGCUGAGCGAGAGGGCGGACGACACCAUCUCCCAGGCGGAGCGGGCCCUGAGCGUCCGCAGCGACCCCAGCUCCUACGUGUUCUGAGCCGCCUGCCGGGGCGAAGCUGGGGAGCUGCCUCUCCAUCGCCCGGCUCCACGGAGGCCCAUGCCAGAGUCUCCGCCUGCAAAGCCCCGUGCCCUCUAAUCCUGGUGCCCUGCCUGCCAGGACGGCGCCCCACAGAAUGACAGCCCCUUUCUGCCCCCCACCCCCAGCGUUCCUCUUCUCCUGACUGCAGCCAAAAUGGAUGGGGAGCCACAGCCGGCUUGAGGCCCUGGGGCGCUGGCCCCAGCCCCUCAUCCCAAGGUGAUCUGACUCUGCCCCUACGCCAGAGGGGGCCCAAGCAAGAGGGGCUCCAGGAGCUGACUGGACGGAGGGGCCCAGCCCCGCAGCGAGGCGCACCUGGGUCUGAGCUGAUGAGCCCAGCCACGGAGCCCCAGCACUGGUGUGCGCGGGAGCCCCUGGAGCUGGGCCUGUGGAGUGCUGGGCGCCGGCGAGCCAGAUCUCCCCACACCACCCCAUCAGUUCCCCUCGGGCCUCCGGUGAAUCUGCUCAGCCGCUGGCAUUGCCCUGGGGCUCAGGGCCGCCCCCAGUUCCCUCUGCCCUGGGCUUAAUUUUCAGAUUGCUCUGAGAGGGGCCGGCUGGCGGCCCUGGAGACAAUUCCACCAGCAGGCACCGUGUGGGCAGCUCAGGGCAAGCUGCCCACCACCAAUGGGCACUGGCCCCACCUGUGAGGUGGGAGGGGAGCUCUGCUCCAUGGCUCGCUCCCUCGCUCCUUGUCCUCUCAGCUCACGGGGCCAGUGGGGGCCAGAGGCAGUGAUGGGUUUGCGGAGGGGACCCUCCCCCCCACGUCCUUCCCUUUGAGUCUCCUUCCCGCAGGCAGCCCGCCAGCUGCUAGCAGGGCCCAGCAUUCAGUCCCUGCUGGCCAGGGUCCUGGGGGAACCAGUCCCUUUACCAGGGCAGCACCUUCCCUCUCCCCCAUUGUCCCUCCCAACCCAGUGUCAGUGCGAGAACCGGCUGGCUGAGCCCAGUGGCAGAGAGCAGUCUGGGGGGGAGGAAGGACCUGUAGUCUUUAUGAACCCCAGUCUGCUGGUGAAGGGCAGCUCCUGCCAGCUGUGUGGGGCCCUGGCAGGGUCCCCUGCCGGGGUGUGCCAGCUGGGCUCAGGGAUGGCACGUGCCCUGGCACGUUGCUCUGAGACCUGCCAGGGACUGGGGAUGGUGCACAGCUGACCCCAUGGGAUUUUGCCUCUAUCCGAGGCUGGCAGGAGCCCCUCUCGGACCCCUGGCAUGGAGGCAGGUGGGCAGCGGUGCCUCGCAGGCUGGACUAGACGGAGCAGAGACCAGGACCAGCCCUGGUGCUGACUACGGCAAGCAUCCCUGAUCUGCUGGGAGGAAGGAGUGGUUAGCCUGCUUCCUGUGGGGCAGGACCCAGGGGAGGGGGUGGGGCGAUCCCCUGGGCUCAGGGGGAGGAGGGGACACAGCCCGUGGGCGACCAAGGGCAGGCAGGGCCUGGGAGCUGCCCAUUCUGGCACCAUGGGCCCUGCCCAGUGUGGAUGUACCGUGGUGCCAUGUGAAGAUAUUUGCCUGUGAAAUAAAUGUGUUGUCUCCUCCCUGG